GAUGAAGAACGUAGCGAAAUGCGAUAAGUAAUGCGAAUUGCAGAAUUCAGUGAGUCAUCGAAUCUUUGAACGCACAUUGCGCCAUGUGGUAUUCCGCAGGGCAUGCCUGUUCGAGCGUCAUUUCAACCCUCAAGCUCUGCUUGGUGUUGGGCCACGCCCCCGCGGCCGGCCCCAAAGCUAGUGGCGGUGCCGUCUGGCUCUAAGCGUAGUACAUCUCUCGCUCUAGGGCCCGGCGGUUGCUUGCCAGAACCCACACUCUUAUGGUUGACCUCGGAUCAGGUAGGGAUACCCGCUGAACUUAAGCAUAUCAAUAAGCGGAGA
rnacentral:misc_RNA from 1 species